AUUGACCAGAAAGCUGAAGUGAUUUCAUGCAGGUUUUCUAAAUUAAUGUGACUGAAUUAGGACUCAAAAGUCAGGCUUUCUUAAUUGAAAUUGCAACGCCGCUCAAUCGCUUAUAGAAGGCUUUGGUCCAGUAGCACUGAGUGGGGUCACAGACACAGAAUGCACCACUCCAAACCAGAAAGGCCGCUAUUGGCAAUGCAGCCACGGUGAGAGCCACACAGAACAAAGAGAUUGUGAAUGUAACUACCAGGCCACUAGAAAAGCACUUGCUACAGUGUAUCUACAGUUCAGCAGGAACCUUCUUUUCCCAAGGCGAUGGACAUAUUGCUUAUCUGUUACUAAAUACAUCUUUUACCAAUUUAGUUGAUUUUAUUUUAUUAAUAUCAAAUGUCUUAAUUAUUUAGAUUUAUUGAGCCACA
rnacentral:lncRNA from 1 species